rnacentral:rRNA from 1 species
AGGACGAACGCUGGCGGCGUGCUUAACACAUGCAAGUCGAGCGGAAAGGCCCUUCGGGGUACUCGAGCGGCGAACGGGUGAGUAACACGUGAGUAAUCUGCCCCUAGCUCUGGGAUAGCUCCGGGAAACCGGGAUUAAUACCAGAUACGACCACUUUAGACAUCUUCUGUGGUGGAAAGAACUUCGGCUAGGGAUGAACUCGCGGCCUAUCAGCUUGUUGGUGAGGUAACGGCUCACCAAGGCGACGACGGGUAGCCGGCCUGAGAGGGCGACCGGCCACACUGGGACUGAGACACGGCCCAGACUCCUACGGGAGGCAGCAGUGGGGAAUAUUGCGCAAUGGGCGAAAGCCUGACGCAGCGACGCCGCGUGGGGGAUGAAGGCCUUCGGGUUGUAAACCCCUUUCAGCAGGGACGAAGCGAAAGUGACGGUACCUGCAGAAGAAGCGCCGACUAACUACGUGCCAGCAGCCGC